CACGGGGGGAGCAAGCGUUGUUCGGAAUUACUGGGCGUAAAGGGCGUGUAGGCGGUCAAGUAAGUGGGGUGGGAAACCCCUCGGCUCACCCGAGGAUCUGCAUCCCAAACUGCUUGGCUUGAGUAUGGGAGAGGAUGAGGGAAUUCCUGGUGUAGCGGUGAAAUGCGUAGAUAUCAGGAGGAACACCGGUGGCGAAGGCGCUCAUCUGGCCCAAUACUGACGCUGAGGCGCGAAAGCUAGGGGAGCGAACGGG
rnacentral:rRNA from 1 species